GACGAACGCUGGCGGCGUGCUUAACACAUGCAAGUCGAACGGAAAGGCCCUGCUUUUGUGGGGUGCUCGAGUGGCGAACGGGUGAGUAACACGUGAGUAACCUGCCCUUGACUUUGGGAUAACUUCAGGAAACUGGGGCUAAUACCGGCUAGGAGCUCCUGCUGCAUGGUGGGGGUUGGAAAGUUUCGGCGGUUGGGGAUGGACUCGCGGCUAAUCAGCUUGUUGGUGGGGUAGUGGCUUACCAAGGCUUUGACGGGUAGCCGGCCUGAGAGGGUGACCGGCCACAUUGGGACUGAGGUACGGCCCAGACUCCUACUGGAGGCAGCAGUGGGGAAUAUUGCACAAUGGGCGGAAGCCUGAUGCAGCAACGCCGCGUGCGGGAUGACGGCCUUCGGGUUGUAAACCGCUUUCGCCUGUGACGAAGCGUGAGUGACGGUAAUGGGUAAAGAAGCACCGGCUAACUACGUG
rnacentral:rRNA from 1 species